AGCAGCCGCGGUAAUUCCAGCUCCAAUAGCGUAUAUUAAAGUUGUUGCAGUUAAAAAGCUCGUAGAUGAAUUUCGGGAUCAAUAUAUCGGUCGUGCCUUGGUACGUACUGGUAUCAUUGGUUUCUCCUUUCUGACGAACCAUGAUGUCAUUAAUUUGGUGUUAUGGGAAGUUAGGACUGUUACUUUAGAAAAAAUUGAGUGUUAAAGCAGGCUUUAGCUUGAAUACAUUAGCAUGGAAUAAUGAAAUAGGACGUUCGAACCUAUUUUGUUGGUUUCUAGGAUCAACGUAAUGAUUAAUAGGGAUAGUUGGGGGCAUUAGUAUUCAAUUGUCAGAGGUGAAAUUCUUGGAUUUAUUGAAGACUAACUACUGCGAAAGCAUUUGCCAAGGAUGUUUUCAUUAAUCAAGAACGAAAGUUAGGGAUCGAAGACGAUACAGAUACGUCGUAGUCUUAAGCCAUAAACUAUGACCGACUAGGGAUCGGGAUGAUGUUAAAUUUUUUAAUGUUACUCUAGUUCGGCC
rnacentral:rRNA from 1 species